rnacentral:rRNA from 1 species
UACGUAGGGAGCAAGCGUUGUCCGGAAUCAUUGGGCGUAAAGCGCGCGUAGGCGGCCUCGUAAGUCCGUUGUGAAAGUCAAAGGCUCAACCUUUGAAAGCCGAUGGAUACUGUGAGGCUAGAGUCCGGAAGAGGCGAGUGGAAUUCCUGGUGUAGCGGUGGAAAUGCGUAGAUAUCAGGAGGAACACCAGUAGGUGUAAG